UACCUGCAGCUCGAGUGGUAACCGCUAUUAUUGGGCCUAAAGCGUCCGUAGCCGGUUUGGUAAAUAUCUGGGUAAAUCGUGAGGCUUAACUUCACGAAUUUCGGAUAGACUGCCAGACUUGGGAUCGGGGGAGGUCAGAGGUACUCCAGGGGUAGCGGUGAAAUGUUGUAACCCUUGGAGGACCACCGGUAGCGAAGGCGUCUGACUAGAACGAGUCCGACGGUGAGGGACGAAGCCCUGGGGCGCAAACCGGAUUAGAUAUCCGGGUAGUCCAGGGUGUAAACGAUGUGGGCUUUGUAUUGGAGGUCCCACGUGGGUGUCCAGUGCAGAAGAGAAGUUGUUAAGCCCACCGCCUGGGAAGUACGGUCGCAAGGCUGAAACUUAAAGGAAUUGGCGGGGGAGCACAGCAACGGGAGGAGCGUGCGGUUU
rnacentral:rRNA from 1 species